rnacentral:rRNA from 1 species
AUGAAGCUGGUGCCGAGGGAGACGGAGAAGCUGGCGCUGCACAGCGCCGGCUUCUUGGCGCAGAAGCGCCUUGCCCGGGGCCUCCGCCUCAACUACACCGAGGCCAUCGCCCUCAUCGCCGCGCAGAUUCUCGAGUUUGUUCGGGAUGGAGACAAAACUGUAACAGACUUGAUGGACUUGGGGAAACAGAUGCUGGGCAGGAGACAAGUUCUUCCGGCUGUUCCAUACCUUUUGGACACUGUACAGGUUGAAGGAACAUUUAUGGAUGGAACAAAACUAAUUACUGUACAUGACCCUAUUUGUUCUGAUGAUGGAAAUUUGGAGCUAGCUCUGCAUGGUUCUUAUCUCCCAGUACCUUCACUUGAAAAGUUUUCUGGGAGUGAUGUUGAGGACUAUCCUGGUGAAGUACAUUUCUGCUCUGGACGCAUAAUCCUCAACCUUCAUCGCAGGGCUUUAACUCUGAAGGUUGUUAACAAGGCAGACAGGCCUAUUCAGAUCGGGAGCCAUUACCACUUUAUAGAGGCCAAUCCGUACCUGGUGUUUGAUAGACACAGAGCCUAUGGCAUGAGACUGAAUAUACCUGCUGGAACAGCCGUUCGGUUUGAGCCAGGGGAUGCAAAAAGUGUUACACUUGUAAGCAUUGGUGGCCAUAAAGUAAUUAGAGGUGGAAAUGGCAUUGCUGAUGGUGCUGUUGACAGUUCUCAGCUUAAUGAGGUAAUGCAGAAGAUUACUGAGUAUGGUUUUGGACAUGAAGAUUAUCCAGACGCAAGCGAAGGUCUUAUUGGUGACGGUACAUUCGACUGCAGUGUUGAUCAUGAGAAAUAUUCUAGCAUGUAUGGACCUACAACUGGUGAUAAGAUUAGGCUUGGUGAUACCGAUCUUUUUGCGGAGAUUGAAAAGGACUUUGCUGUUUAUGGUGAUGAGUGCAUAUUUGGAGGGGGAAAAGUUCUGCGUGAUGGAAUGGGACAAUCCGCAGGGUAUCCAGCAUCUGCCUCCCUGGAUACAGUUAUAACAAAUGCUGUUGUGAUUGACUAUACAGGAAUAUACAAGGCUGAUAUUGGUAUAAAAGAUGGGCUUAUUAUUGCCAUUGGGAAAGCUGGAAACCCCGAUGUCAUGGAUGGUGUGCACAGCAACAUGAUUGUUGGGGUGAAUACAGAAGUUAUUGCUGCUCAAGGCAUGAUUGUAACUGCUGGUGGUAUAGAUUGCCAUGUUCACUUCAUAUGCCCUCAGCUGGUAAAUGAGGCAAUUGCAAGUGGCAUAACAACAUUGGUGGGAGGUGGAACAGGACCAGCACAUGGAACUUGUGCCACAACUUGCACCCCUGCACCGUCUCAAAUGAAACUAAUGUUGCAGUCCACCGACGAAUUUCCAAUCAACAUGGGAUUUACAGGAAAGGGAAAUACUGCAAAACCCGAAGGAUUAUCUGAGAUCAUUAUGGCAGGAGCAAUGGGUUUGAAGUUGCAUGAAGAUUGGGGAAGCACCCCAGCUGCGAUAGAUAACUGUUUAUCUGUUGGAGAAGCUUUUGAUAUCCAAGUUAAUAUCCACACGGAUACCUUAAAUGAAGCAGGUUGUGUGGAGCAUACAAUUGCAGCUUUUAAAGAUAGGUCCAUACACACAUAUCACAGCGAAGGUGCAGGUGGUGGUCAUGCCCCAGACAUCAUUAAAGUAUGUGGGGUGAAAAAUGUGUUGCCUUCUUCAACAAACCCAACCCGGCCUUUUACUUCUAACACUGUUGAUGAGCACCUUGAUAUGCUGAUGGUUUGCCACCACCUUGAUAAAAACAUCCCGGAAGAUGUAGCAUUUGCUGAGUCAAGAAUUCGAGCAGAAACAAUUGCGGCUGAGGACAUCUUGCACGACAUGGGGGCAAUCAGUAUCAUAUCAUCUGAUUCACAGGCUAUGGGUCGCAUUGGAGAGGUGAUUAUCCGAACAUGGCAAACUGCAAACAAGAUGAAAGUCCAAAGAGGUAGGUUACCUGGGGCUGGUGACUCUGAUCCUGCCAAGGAUAAUGACAACUUCCGUAUAAGAAGAUACAUAGCAAAAUAUACCAUAAAUCCUGCUAUAGUAAGCGGCUUCUCAGAUUUUGUUGGUUCUGUGGAGGUAUGUACCUCUUGA